CUCCCCGUCUCUCUGACCCUGCCCUGCUGGAGCUCUUUCUCUCCAAAUAAAUUAAUUAAAAAUAAAAACAAAGCAAAAUAAAACAAAAGCGCGGCCGAACCCAUCUGCAGAUCUCAUUGGGAGACAGGCUUGCCUCAGUUCCUCCUCCUUUGCUUGAGGCCACGUGUGGCUCUGUCACUAUUUUAUAACAGGUCAAGGUAGAAACUUGAUAACUCUAGUGCUUAACCUAAAGCCAGCUGGGGAGCGGUAAAGGUGAGGUCACCAUCCUGAUGAAGCUGAUGAAGCCAGGGGAGUUGACGGGACAGGCUCCUCUUCACCCCAGCCUGGAGCCUGGGUUCGGCCCUGGGACAUUUGCCUCUUAACUCCGCUGGCGGGCCCAUGCUCCAGCCUCUCUGCCAUUCAACACCUGCAUCGACCCUCUCUUUGGCAAUGUGCUGGAGCAGAGGCUAUAAUAUCGAAGGGGAGAAAAGUAAGCGACCAAUCAGAUCUUGCCUGCAUGGAUUUGCUAGCCAGCGAGAAGAAGAUGUUCAUGAAGUUAUCACGCGCAACCGUGUGUCACUCAUUCCGUCCCACCUGCCCGCUCCAUGCCUGGAAGCUAACCAACAAUCUCGAGGAUUUUUUGGCAAGAUACAGAAAGAAUGGGUCCAGUGCUGUCCUCGACUGGACCAGGUUUCAGCGACUUGUCUGCGCAGGUUGGACAAAACAUCAGAUGGCACCUGUUCCCCUCACCAGCAGCAGGCACGAUCGAUCACAGCUGCUGACUUAGCAGGGUGCCCUCUUGUCAUAACACCCAGAAGGCUAUUUUCCGUAGAUGAGACUUGGUCCGGGAGAACCGAAACCUAGUCCUCAUCCCCGGAAUCCGUGAUCCUUUAAGAAAAACCUUAAGUUUUCCUCUGAUGAUGGCUGGGAAAAACAAAAAGCAAAACCACAGGGGUGCCUGGAUGGAUCAGUCGUUAAGCAUCCGAACUCUUGGUUUCAGCUCAGGUCAUGAUCUCAUGGUUUGUGGGAUCGAGCCUUGAGUGGGGCUCCGCACGGAAAGUACAGAGCAUGCUUGGGAUUCUCUCUCUCCAUCUCUGUCUAUGCCCUUCCCCCACUUGUGCACUUGCACCCCCCCCCCCACACACACACACUCUAUCUCUCAAAAAAAAAAAAAAGAAAAAUCAAAACCACAAACACAUCCAAGGGCACCCUCUCCCCUUAGAGGUAAGAGACCACCUAUAAACCAAAGCAGCCAUCACAACCCAGAAUACUACGGGGAAGUCUUUGUCAGGAAGGUGCUGCCUUGACUUGGGGCCAGAGAGGCACUCUUGCCAGUGGGAAUCCCCAUUCCCCUGGGUCCUGGCCUCUGCUCAUCUUGUCCUCCUGGCUCAUCAUAAGCCCCCGUGACCCACAAUGGGCAGUCCUCCUGGCCAGACGUGGCCUGAUGAAGUGGAAGAGAAUUGGAGGAGGAGUCAAAACACCUGGACUUGAUUUCAGUUUUGCCACACGUGGGAUGCCUGGCCUCAUGCACCUGCGAGCCUCAGUUUCCUUCCUGGGUCUGGGAAGUGGAUUUGGUAUCGCGUCCCUUUAGCUGUGCUUGGGUGACCUCCCUCUCACCUCUUUCCUCUAGUCAGUUGGUUGCACAAAAGGGUAGAGGGGUGGCCAUAUGCCGGUAGCAUUAGGCGGCUGUGGAGAACAAAGCCUUGGGCAACGAUUCUAGAGUCCUCUGGUCCCUAAUGGAGACUGACUAUAAAGUCAUAGCUGACCAGAGUCUCUCAGUCAAGUCCCCAAAGAAAUGAGACAAUUACCUGGGGAGGUCUCCCAAGCCAGACUCGUCCCCACAAGGUAAAACUAGCCAACUUAUUCUUAGCAGUGUGAAGUCUCAGGGCUCAUCCCCAGAGCUUUGGGGGAAAUGUGCUAUUUAAAAACUCAUCGAUGCCUUCCGCAUCACCAAUCUAUUUAAAGUAUGGUUGAAGAAGAAGUAAAAAAAAAAAAAAACGAUUGAAAUUGAGAGUAAAAAAAAAUAUCUCUCCAUCCCAGAAACCCAAGGGGUUAAUCCUCUCCUGUGGCUGAGGAAAUGCCAGCAAGCCUUUGGCAACCUUCCUCCUUCUUUAUAUAACGGCACUUCCAAGAGCUGACGCUAGGACCGCCCAGUAAUGCUUUUAAUUUGUGUGCAGUUGGGGAGAGGCCAGGAUUUAAUCGAAAUCGUUAGGAUGCCUUUGCUUGGAGUAGCUGAGUGCUCGCAGCGGAGCAAGCUGGGCAACAAGGUAGCACUGGAAUAAUUAAAAGAAAUACCUAAGGUCGUCACUGUUGCACGAGCUAUUCCAGACACCAGGCUUCGGAGUAAAAAUGGUGGAAUUAAAUAGCACUUUUGUGGCUGAAAUAAAAUUGGUGCACAGUUACUUUCCUAUUACGUUUCAAUUUUCUCUCUUUCCACCCACCUAAUACAAGGAGCUGGGGCUCCAUGUUUGUUUAAUGGGGGUGAGGGACAGACCCUGGGAACCGCCUGUUCCUCAGCCAGCCCAGGUGCUCAAGGUUCCUAUUCUGAGUCCCCUCUGCACUGUGGGUGGUCUGAACUGGUUCACCCUCCUGAAUUACACGUGGUACACAGCUGCACAGAGAACAUUCCACCCGCCCAACCUUCCCAGGGUAGUCCUACCCGAGUGAGUCCUAUCUGUGGGCAAAAUGUGGAAAAAAAGGCACAGGCAUUGGGAUUUCCAUACCUGCCCUCAUUCCCAUUCUCUUUCUAAGGGGAGCGAUGGCUCCCAAAGCCCCCAGACAACAUAUGGUCAAGAUUAGGAAUCAUGUCCCUAAAAGACUGAAUAAUUCAGGUGAAAAAAAGAGCACAUCUGUGAAGUAGAGAUAUUCACCUGACUUAUUUAUAUGUUAUAAACACUUAUAAGUGUCACAGGGGACCAAGCAUAUGCCAUGCCAGUUAUUCACUCAGUCAACAAGGGUUCAUUUACGUCUACAAACCAUCCAUUCCUUCUUUUCCCCAAUUCUGUAGAGCCUUGUGCUAAGUUCUAUUGUGAAGGUGAGAGAAAGCGGUGAGGCUUCUGAACACUGGCUAGAGACAGGUGUCACACACAGAAGGGUUCAGAUUGGUGUUUGUAUGAUUCGCUUGGGUCAAUAGGGCAUCUCUCUUUCUCUGAGACAAUGCGUCCCCCGUGGUAUCGAGGGCGAAAGCUUUAGUAGAUACUCAAGGCACACUGUGGUCCAACUCUAUUUUGUGUUUCAAACUCAGCUCUUCAGGAAAGCAAGGUCACUGCUCUCAUUAGGUGGCAAGAGGAUGGUGGGAACAGGUGUGACCACAGAAGACAGGCUCAUGGCUCUUUCCUCUUAGUAAAUAUACCCAUUAAAAAGAAACAAAAAAACACACUAUGAUCUAGGUGUUAUAUUGAUUUCCAUUUUAUGUCCCAGAACACUGCGCUUAGAGAAUUUAAACAAU